ACCCCAUGAUAUAAGCCGGCAGGGAAAAUAUUUUCCAUUUUUUCCUGUGACUAUGAUUGGGAACAACAAUGUUUAUCCGAUGUGUGUAUGUGGCAAUAUCAAACAAAUUUAUUGCACCAAAGAAUGAUUCGGAGCACA